rnacentral:rRNA from 1 species
CAAUAGCGUAUAUUAAAGUUGUUGCAGUUAGAACGCUCGUAGUCGGAUUUCGGGGCGGGCCGACCGGUCUGCCGAUGGGUACGCACUGGUCGGCGCGUCCUUCCUUCCGGAGACCGUUCCUACUCUUAACUGAGCGGGGGCGGGAGACGGAUCGUUUACUUUGAAAAAAUCAGAGUGUUUCAAGCAGGCAGCUCGCUCUUGCAUGGAUUAGCAUGGGAUAAUGAAAUAGGACUUUGGUGCUAUUUUGUUGGUUUCGAACACCGAAGUAAUGAUUAAAAGGGACAGUCAGGGGCACUCGUAUUCCGCCGAGAGAGGUGAAAUUCUCAGACCAGCGGAAGACGAACUACUGCGAAAGCGUUUGCCAGGGAUGUUUUCACUGA